GGGGCUGUAGCUCAGCUGGGAGAGCGCCAGCUUUGCAAGCUGGAUGUCGUCGGUUCGAUCCCGAUCAGCUCCA
rfam:Myxococcus xanthus DK 1622, complete genome.